CCCGCCAGGGUUGGGUCGUGGCUGCCGGGGCUCCUCGCCAGAAGGCCUCCUGGGCCGCCCUUCCGCUCUCCCGGGGCUGGGCGGCGCUGUCUGGCUCUUCCUGCCGCGCUCUGGCCACUCCCCGCUCCGCCCCUUGCUUGGCCUGGCCGUGGCGGCCUUGCUCUGCAGGCAGUGCUUCCCUCGGGCGUGGGUCUGCAGGAGAGCCGGACAGGGCAGCGGCCGGCACUACCGCGCCGCGAUUUGCGCAGAGCUGAAGAAGACCCUGACCACUGAAGAGGUGGACCCCCGCCCCGUCGGGCUCACGAGGGUCUCACUCUGUCACCCAGGCUGGAGUGCAGUGGCAUGAUCAUGGCUCACUGCAACCUUG